rnacentral:rRNA from 1 species
GAAAAGGGAUGAGCCCGCGUCUGAUUAGCUAGUUGGUAGGGUAACGGCCUACCAAGGCGACGAUCAGUAGCCGGCCUGAGAGGGUGGCCGGCCACAUUGGGACUGAGACACGGCCCAAACUCCUACGGGAGGCAGCAGUGGGGAAUCUUCCGCAAUGGGCGAAAGCCUGACGGAGCAACGCCGCGUGAGUGAAGAAGGCCUUCGGGUCGUAAAGCUCUGUCUUUAGGGAAGAAAAGCGAUUAUGUAAAUAAUGUAGUCGUGUGACGGUACCUAAGGAGGAAGCUCCGGCUAACUACGUGCCAGCAGCCGCGGUAAUACGUAGGGAGCAAGCGUUGUCCGGAAUUACUGGGCGUAAAGGGCGCGUAGGCGGGUAUUUAAGUCAGGUGUGAAAACUCCGAGCUCAACUUGGAGACUGCACUUGAAACUGGGUAUCUUGAGGGCAGGAGAGGAAAGUGGAAUUCCUAGUGUAGCGGUGAAAUGCGUAGAUAUUAGGGGGAACACCAGUGGCGAAGGCGACUUUCUGGACUGUACCUGACGCUGAGGCGCGAAAGCGUGGGGAGCGAACGGGAUUAGAUACCCCGGUAGUCCACGCCGUAAACGAUGAAUACUAGGUGUAGGAGGUAUCGACCCCUUCUGUGCCGCAGUUAACACAAUAAGUAUUCCGCCUGGGGAGUACGAUCGCAAGAUUGAACUCAAAGGAAUUGACGGGACCCGCACAAGCGGUGGAGCAUGUGGUUUAAUUCGAAGCAACGCGAAGACCUUACCAGGGCUUGAACAUCCCUCGCAAUCUGUGGAAACAACGAGUUUAA